AAACAGAUAACUGUUACCAGUUUCACCUUACAACUUAUCAUUUCUUCCAGCAAGCUAGCCGAAGUAUCGACUUGCUAAAUUCUGGCAGAAGCAAAGGAGAUAUUAGGCCUUUUCGCUAGCUUUGAACAAGAUUAACUUACCAUAGAUCUCAUGGAAUGAGAAUGUCCAGGUAAUUGUCAUGGCCUAUCUUAAUUAGAUAUAAUAAAAUUCAACCUGAAACUUAAUCGCUAA
rnacentral:misc_RNA from 1 species